rnacentral:lncRNA from 1 species
CAAGAGGGCGGUGUGACUAGCAAAUGAAGCGUAGAAAACCCAUCAGCAGUGGAGGCUGCUGGGGACAACGGCUGAUGAAGCCGCCUCACGGUGCAGGUGUCUCUCCCAAACCAACCAAGGCUGCAUUAACCUUUCCUGAAAAUAAAAAACUCUCUGCUCAACAGUAUGCCUCUUAACCGCCUGGAGGCUGGGUCUACUUUCUGCCUUUCCUGCCACAAGACCUUGUCUUGUGCCCAGAGGGCCUCAGGCACGUGCGUGUG